rnacentral:rRNA from 1 species
CCUACGGGUGGCAGCAGUGAGGAAUAUUGGUCAAUGGGCGUAAGCCUGAACCAGCAAAGUCGCGUGAGGGAUGAAGGUUCUAUGGAUCGUAAACCUCUUUUAUAAGGGAAUAAAGUGUGGGACGUGUCCUAUUUUGUAUGUACCUUAUGAAUAAGGAUCGGCUAACUCCGUGCCAGCAGCCGCGGUAAUACGGAGGAUCCGAGCGUUAUCCGGAUUUACUGGGUUUAAAGGGUGCGUAGGCGGCCUUUUAAGUCAGCGGUGAAAGUCUGUGGCUCAACCAUAGAAUUGCCGUUGAAACUGGUGUGCUUGAGUAUGGUUGAGGCAGGCGGAAUGCGUGGGGUAGCGGUGAAAUGCUUAGAUAUAACGCAGAACCCCGAUUGCGAAGGCAGCCGGCCAAGCCAUGACUGACGCUGAGGCGCGAAAGCGUGGGGAGCAAACAGGAUUAGAUACCCUUGUAGUC